rnacentral:misc_RNA from 1 species
UCCUUAUUUCUAAGGCAGUCUCGCUAGAGUGCUCCCAGAAGGUUAGCAACUAACGACAGAGGUUGCGCUCGUUAAAGGACUUAACCCAACAUCUCACGACACGAGCUGACGACAGCCAUGCAGCACCUGUUUAAUUGUCUUGAUUGCUCAAGAAAAGGACAUCUCUGCCCCGGUCAACUAUAUGUCAAGCCCAGGUAAGGUUCCUCGCGUAGUGUCGAAUUAAACCACAUGUUCCACCGCUUGUGCGGACCCCCGUCAAUUUCUUUGAGUUUUAGUCUUGCGACCGUACUCCCCAGGCGGAUCACUUAUCGCGUUAGCUACGAUACCAAACUCCUCAAGGGAAUCUGACAUCCAGUGAUCAUCGUUUACAGCGUGGACUAC